rnacentral:rRNA from 1 species
CCUGGUUGAUCCUGCCAGUAGUCAUAUGCUUGUCUCAAAGAUUAAGCCAUGCAUGUCUAAGCACAAGCCCAAGAAUGGUAAAGCCGCAAAUGGCUCAUUACAACAGCCAUAGUUUACUGGAUCUUACAUUCCUACUUGGAUAACUGUGGUAAUUCUAGAGCUAAUACACGCACGAAAGCUCUGACCUUACGGAAGGAGCGCAUUUAUUAGAACAAAACCAAUCGGAACGCAAGUUCCGCCAAUUGGUGAAUCUGAAUAACUUUGCCGAUCGCAUGGUCUCGUACCGGCGACGUAUCUUUCAAAUGUCUGCCUUAUCAACUUUAGAUGGUAGUUUACACGCCUACCAUGGUUGUAACGGGUAACGGAGAAUAAGGGUUCGACUCCGGAGAGGGAGCCUGAGAAAUGGCUACCACAUCCAAGGAAGGCAGCAGGCACGCAAAUUACCCACUCCCGGCACGGGGAGGUAGUGACGAAAAAUAACGAGGCGGUUCUCUACGAGGCCCGCCAUCGGAAUGGGUACAAUUUAAAUCCUUUAACGAGGAUCUAUUGGAGGGCAAGUCUGGUGCCAGCAGCCGCGGUAAUUCCAGCUCCAAUAGCGUAUAUUAAAGUUGUUGCGGUUAAAAAGCUCGUAGUUGGAUCUGCGGCCGAGGAGAGCGGUCCCCUUCGGGAGGUACUGCUUUUCCUGGCCUAAUUCUCCGGUUUUCCCUUGGUGCUCUUCAUUGAGUGUCAUUGGUGGCCGGAACGUUUACUUUGAAAAAAUUAGAGUGCUCAAAGCAGGCGUCUGCCUGAAUAGUGGUGCAUGGAAUAAUGAAAUAGGAUAUUGGUUCUGUUUUAUUGGUUCGGAGCUAAUAUAAUGAUUGAAGGGGACAGACGGGGGCAUUCGUAUUGCGACGUUAGAGGUGAAAUUCUUGGAUCGUCGCAAGACGGACUACUGCGAAAGCAUUUGCCAAGAAUGUUUUCAUCAAUCAAGAACGAAAGUCUGAGGUUCGAAGGCGAUCAGAUACCGCCCUAGUUCAGACCGUAAACGAUGCCAACUAGCGAUCCGUCGGCGUUAAUUUAUGACUCGACGGGCAGCUUCCGGGAAACCAAAGUUUUUGGGUUCCGGGGGAAGUAUGGUUGCAAAGCUGAAACUUAAAGGAAUUGACGGAAGGGCACCACCAGGAGUGGAGCCUGCGGCUUAAUUUGACCCAACACGGGAAAACUCACCCGGCCCGGAC